rnacentral:ncRNA from 1 species
UAAAAGUUUUAUUAUAGCUUUGGAAUUGAUUAUUUGAUUUUUAUACAUGCAAAUUUUUGUGUGGGCUGAAUUUAGAUAGUUUGGUUGUUUAGUGCAGUGUAUAUUUUUAGGUAUUAAGGUUACUUAGACUUAGGAAUUCAUUUAAAUGUAAACAAAACUUGUGCCAGCAGUAGCGGUUAAACAAGUUACAUGAGUUAAUUGUAUUUAGUUCAAUUAGAUGGUGAAUUUUUGAAUAUAUAUUUGGGUUUUUUAGGUGGAAUUUUAAAUCUAAUAAAAAUUUUUUAUAUGUUGUUGAAGUUGGUAAAUUUCUUUUUUAAACUAGGAUUAGAUACCCUAUUAUUGGGAAUGUUAAUGUUGAAACUGUAAUUAUUAGUAGUUAAGGUCUUUAAAAUUAAAGAUUUUGGCGGUAUCUUAGUCUUUUCAGAGGAACCUGUUUUUUAAUCGAUAAUCCACGAUGAUUUUUACUUUGUUUUUAAAUUUAUAUAUCGUUGUAAAAUAAACAUUUUUUUAGAAUUCUAAUGUUUGGGAUAUUUAAUUAUAAUUUAAUUCAGAUCAAGGUGUAGUUUAUAACAAAGUUAAAAUGGGUUACAUUACAUCUAUGUGUAGUUUCUUUUAUUUAAAAUUUAAGAAUAAAUUGGAUUUGAAAGUAAUUCUUAUAUCUUUAUAGAAUGAUUAAGCUCUAGGAUAUGUACAUAUCGCCCGUCGCUUUCGUUAUAAAAUGAAAUAAGUCGUAACAGAGUAGGUUUAUUGGAAAAUGAACCUGGAAUUAU